GGCCUGGGCUACACACGUGCUACAAUGGUCGGUACAAAGGGUUGCCAAGCCGCGAGGUGGAGCUAAUCCCAUAAAACCGAUCGUAGUCCGGAUCGCAGUCUGCAACUCGACUGCGUGAAGUCGGAAUCGCUAGUAAUCGUGAAUCAGAAUGUCACGGUGAAUACGUUCCCGGGCCUU
rnacentral:rRNA from 1 species